rnacentral:rRNA from 1 species
UACGUAGGGUGCAAGCGUUGUCCGAAAUUAUUGGGCGUAAAGAGCUCGUAGGCGGUUUGUCGCGUCUGCUGUGAAAACCCGAGGCUCAACCUCGGGCCUGCAGUGGGUACGGGCAGACUAGAGUGCGGUAGGGGAGAUUGGAAUUCCUGGUGUAGCGGUGGAAUGCGCAGAUAUCAGGAGGAACACCAAUGGCGAAGGCAGAUCUCUGGGCCGUAACUGACGCUGAGGAGCGAAAGCAUGGGGAGCGAACAGG